rnacentral:rRNA from 1 species
CCCAGACUCCUACGGGAGGCAGCAGUGGGGAAUAUUGCACAAUGGGGGAAACCCUGAUGCAGCGACGCCGCGUGAGCGAUGAAGUAUUUCGGUAUGUAAAGCUCUAUCAGCAGGGAAGAAGAUGACGGUACCUGACUAAGAAGCCCCGGCUAACUACGUGCCAGCAGCCGCGGUAAUACGUAGGGGGCAAGCGUUAUCCGGAUUUACUGGGUGUAAGGGGAGCGUAGACGGCGAUGCAAGCCAGAUGUGAAAGCCCGGGGCUCAACCGCGGAAUGGCUUUGGAAACUUUUUUGCUGGAGUACCGGAGAGGUAAGCGGAAUUCCUAGUGUAGCGGUGAAAUGCGUAGAUAUUAGGAGGAACACCAGUGGCGAAGGCGGCUUACUGGACGGUAACUGACGUUGAGGCUCGAAAGCGUGGGGAGCAAACAGGAUUAGAUACCCUAGUACAG